rnacentral:rRNA from 1 species
UACGAAGGGAGCUAGCGUUGUUCGGAAUCACUGGGCGUAAAGCGCACGUAGGCGGCUGUGUCAGUCAGGGGUGAAAUCCCGGGGCUCAACCUCGGAACUGCCUUUGAUACAGCACGUCUUGAGUCCGAUAGAGGUGGGUGGAAUUCCUAGUGUAGAGGUGAAAUUCGUAGAUAUUAGGAAGAACACCGGUGGCGAAGGCGGCCCGCUGGAUCGGUACUGACGCUGAGGUGCGAAAGCGUGGGGAGCAAACAGG